CCCCUGGUUUAUACAACAAUGCAAGUACUUGCAGAGUGUAAAAAUUUCAGUUACUCACAAACAUAAACGUCACAAUGAAUUAGAUUACAUCACUCAUCAUAUGAAUUUUGUGGUCCUUGCAUAAAUAUAAUUACAACAUAUUCAUCUAUCAAUUGGCAGAAAGUUUUUUUUUCGGUUCUUAACGAAUUUGUUUGUUUUGAUGAUACAAGCUUUCAAGGUUUUAUUGAUAAUUUCACUUGAUUUUUUUUAUUGGUUAAACAAUGGCUCAUCGGGGAAUUUGCCCAUAUGAUUAUAAACAUCAAGUUCCAAAUCAUCGUUUUGAAUUACACAUGUUGAUUUGUCCAAAAAAAUUUAAUGUGAAUGCUGAUGAAUCUGAUAAAAAAUCAUUGGUAUCGGAUGAUUCUGAAUCAAGUGACCGAACGAUCGAUGAAAAAAUUAAAUUAUUAAUAAAUACGGAUCAAAAGGAUGAUUUAAAACUCCUGACAUUAGCCGAAUAUGUAAAUGCAUCCGAAUCUCGACGAACCUUGUAUCGUCAUUGUCUAAGAAAUUAUUUAUGUCGCCAAAUCGUUAAUAACCAAAGUUUAUUCAGUGAAAAAUGAUAUAUUGAUGAAUUAAUGGUAAUCAAACUGAUUCAUGUUGGAACAAUAUGAGAUUUGUAUGACCGGUUGUAAAAUCCUGAUUGAAAUGAGCUUCAAGAUAAGAAUUGCCCAUCAAAACCAUGAAUGACUCUGAAAUCGUAGUUGAAAAACCAAUGUUGAACAACGAAAUCGAAUAAACGGAUUCAGC